CCUACGGGUGGCAGCAGUGGGGAAUAUUGCACAAUGGGCGAAACCCUGAUGCAGCAACGCCGCGUGAAGGAAGAAGGGUUUCGGCUCGUAAACUUCUUUUGUUAGGGACGAAAGAGAUGACGGUACCUAACUAAUAAGCCCCGGCUAACUACGUGCCAGCAGCCGCGGUAAUACGUAGGGGGCAAGCGUUAUCCGGAAUUACUGGGUGUAAAGGGAGCGUAGGCGGCAGGGGAAGUAAGAUGUUAAAUCCCGCAGCUUAACUGCGAGGAUUGCAUUUGAAACUAUCUUGCUUGAGUACAGGAGAGGUAAGCGGAAUUCCGAGUGUAGCGGUGAAAUGCGUAGAUAUUAGGAAGAACACCAGUGGCGAAGGCGGCUUACUGGACUGUAACUGACGCUGAGGCGCGAAAGCGUGGGGAGCGAACAGGAUUAGAUACCCUAGUAGUC
rnacentral:rRNA from 1 species